rnacentral:rRNA from 1 species
UACCAGACUCCUACGGGAGGCAGCAGUGGGGAAUAUUGGGCAAUGGGCGCAAGCCUGACCCAGCAACGCCGCGUGAAGGAAGAAGGCUUUCGGGUUGUAAACUUCUUUUAUUCGGGACGAAGAAAGUGACGGUACCGAAUGAAUAAGCACCGGCUAACUCCGUGCCAGCAGCCGCGGUAAUACGGAGGGUGCAAGCGUUGUCCGGAAUUACUGGGUGUAAAGGGAGCGCAGGCGGGAAGCCAAGUCAGCUGUGAAAACUACGGGCUUAACUUGUAGACUGCAGUUGAAACUGGUCUUCUUGAGUGAAGGAGAGGUUGGCGGAAUUCCGAGUGUAGCGGUGAAAUGCGUAGAUAUUCGGAGGAACACCGGUGGCGAAGGCGGCCAACUGGGCUUUAACUGACGCUGAGGCUCGAAAGUGUGGGGAGCAAACAGGAUUAGAUACCCGUGUA